rnacentral:tRNA from 1 species
UUAUAAUAAGCUAUUGCUUUUAAUUGUUAAUUA